UACGUAGGCAGCGAGCGUUGUUCGGAGUUACUGGGCGUAAAGCGCGCGUAGGCGGUUCGUUAAGUGGGAUGUGAAAUCCCCGGGCUUAACCUGGGAAUUGCAUUUCAAACUGGCCGACUAGAGUACGGUAGAGGGAGGUAGAAUUUCCUGUGUAGCGGUGAAAUGCGUAGAUAUAGGAAGGAAUACCAGUGGCGAAGGCGGCCUCCUGGAUCGAUACUGACGCUGAGGCGCGAAAGCGUGGGGAGCAAACAGG
rnacentral:rRNA from 1 species